rnacentral:rRNA from 1 species
AGUGAACGCUGGCGGUAGGCCUAACACAUGCAAGUCGAACGGCAGCACAGUAAGAGCUUGCUCUUACGGGUGGCGAGUGGCGGACGGGUGAGGAAUACAUCGGAAUCUACUUUUUCGUGGGGGAUAACGUAGGGAAACUUACGCUAAUACCGCAUACGACCUACGGGUGAAAGCAGGGGAUCUUCGGACCUUGCGCGAUUGAAUGAGCCGAUGUCGGAUUAGCUAGUUGGCGUGGUAAAGGCCCACCAAGGCGACGAUCCGUAGCUGGUCUGAGAGAUGAUCAGCCACACUGGAACUGAGACACGGUCCAGACUCCUACGGGAGGCAGCAGUGGGGAAUAUUGGACAAUGGGCGCAAGCCUGAUCCAGCCAUACCGCGUGGGUGAAGAAGGCCUUCGGGUUGUAAAGCCCUUUUGUUGGGAAAGAAAAGCAGCAGGUUAAUACCCCGCUGUUCUGACGGUACCCAAAGAAUAAGCACCGGCUAACUUCGUG